rnacentral:sRNA from 1 species
CCGCCAUGAUCUGCGGGCAGAUCAGGUGCACAUGACAGUCGAUCCCACCCGCGGUGACGAUGCGCCCGUUGCCGGCGAUGAUCUCCGUCGACGGACCGAUCACCAGAUCCGGGUGAACGCCGUCCAUGAUGUCGGGGUUGCCGGCCUUGCCGAUCGCGGCGAUCCUGCCGUCGCGAAUCCCGAUGUCAGCCUUGAUGAUUCCCCAGUGGUCGAGGAUGACCACGCCGGUGAUCACGGUGUCCGGGGCGCCGUCGGCGCGAGUGGCGCGGCCCUGGCCCAUCGAUUCGCGCAG